CCUACGGGAGGCAGCAGUGGGGAAUAUUGCACAAUGGGGGAAACUCUGAUGCAGCGACGCCGCGUGCGUGAAGAAGUAAUUCGUUAUGUAAAGCUCUAUUAGUAGGGAAGAAAAUGACGGUACCUGAGUAAGAAGCCCCGUCUAACUACGUGCCAGCAGCCGCGGCAAUACGGCGGGGGCAAGCGUUAUCCGGAUUUACUGGGUGUAAAGGGAGCGUAGAGGGGAGUGCAAGUCUGGGGUGAAAGGCGGGGGCUCAACCCCCGGACUGCUCUGGAAACUGUACGGCUGGAGAGCAGUAGAGGUAAGUGGAAUUCCUAGUGUAGCGGUGAAAUGCGUAGAUAUUAGACAGAACACCAGUGGCGAAGGCAGCUUACUAGACUGUAACUGACGUUGAGGCACGAAAGCGUGGGGAGCAAACAGGAUUAGAUACCCCAGUAGUC
rnacentral:rRNA from 1 species